AGAGUUUGAUCAUGGCUCAGAAUCAACGCUGGCGGCGUGCCUAACACAUGCAAGUCGAACGAGAAAGUGGAGCAAUCCAUGAGUAAAGUGGCGACCGGGUGAGUAACACGUGACUAACCUACCCUUGAAUGGGGAAUAACCUUCCGAAAGGAGGGCUAAUACCGCAUAACGUCCUGAGGCUGAAAUGCCAUUGGACCAAAGGAGCAAUUCGUUUAAGGAGGGGGUCGCGGUUGAUUAGCUAGUUGGUGGGGUAAUGGCCCACCAAGGCGAUGAUCAAUAGCCGGCCUGAGAGGGCGCACGGCCACACUGGAACUGAAACACGGUCCAGACUCCUACGGGAGGCAGCAGUGGGGAAUUUUGCGCAAUGGGGGAAACCCUGACGCAGCAACGCCGCGUGGAGGAUGAAGGUCUUUGGAUUGUAAACUCCUUUCGAUCGGGAAGAUAAUGACGGUACCGGAAGAAGAAGCCCCGGCUAACUUCGUGCCAGCAGCCGCGGUAAUACGAAGGGGGCAAGCGUUGUUCGGAAUUAUUGGGCGUAAAGGGAGCGUAGGCGGUUCGGCAAGUCUCUAGUGAAAUCUCUGGGCUCAACUCAGAGUCUGCUGGGGAAACUGCCGGGCUGGAGUAUGGGAGAGGUGAGUGGAAUUCCUGGUGUAGCGGUGAAAUGCGUAGAUAUCAGGAGGAACACCUGUGGCGAAAGCGGCUCACUGGACCAUUACUGACGCUGAUGCUCGAAAGCUAGGGGAGCAAACAGGAUUAGAUACCCUAGUAGUCC
rnacentral:rRNA from 1 species